rnacentral:lncRNA from 1 species
CGGGAACUGGAUCCCAUUGCUCCCAAAUAUUUUCCUCAACCUUAGAAAUUGCAAAAUCUCUGUCUUUCUCGGCCAUACACCCGGUCUGCCUUGCAUACUUGCCUGUGAAGGAGUAGUCAAGAAGCUGCGUAAGAUACAAACCACCCAUGGUUCCACGAUACUCGCGAUAAUCCGCGAGUGUCUUGUAACGCCCCUUGAGCUCUCCAAACUUUUGCGAGAACUUAUCACAACGUUUCUUCAUAACUUCGACCACCUCUCUCUUCCCUCGCCUAUAGGCAUGGUUGAACUCCCUCUCA